rnacentral:rRNA from 1 species
AGUGAACGCUGGCGGUAGGCCUAACACAUGCAAGUCGAACGGCAGCACUGUAAGAGCUUGCUCUUACGGGUGGCGAGUGGCGGACGGGUGAGGAAUACAUCGGAAUCUACUUUUUCGUGGGGGAUAACGUAGGGAAACUUACGCUAAUACCGCAUACGACCUACGGGUGAAAGCAGGGGAUCUUCGGACCUUGCGCGAUUGAAUGAGCCGAUGUCGGAUUAGCUAGUUGGCGGGGUAAAGGCCCACCAAGGCGACGAUCCGUAGCUGGACUGAGAGGAUGAUCAGCCACACUGGAACUGAGACACGGUCCAGACUCCUACGGGAGGCAGCAGUGGGGAAUAUUGGACAAUGGGCGCAAGCCUGAUCCAGCCAUACCGCGUGGGUGAAGAAGGCCUUCGGGUUGUAAAGCCCUUUUGUUGGGAAAGAAAAGCAGCAGGUUAAUACCCCGCUGUUCUGACGGUACCCAAAGAAUAAGCACCGGCUAACUUCGUG